CCUACGGGAGGCAGCAGUGAGGAAUAUUGGUCAAUGGCCGCAGGGCUGAACCAGCCAAGUCGCGUGAGGGAUGACGGUCCUAUGGAUUGUAAACCUCUUUUGUCAGGGAGCAAAGGGCGCCACGUGUGGCGUUUUGCGAGUACCUGAAGAAAAAGCAUCGGCUAACUCCGUGCCAGCAGCCGCGGUAAUACGGAGGAUGCGAGCGUUAUCCGGAUUUAUUGGGUUUAAGGGGUGCGCAGGCGGAUUUUUAAGUCAGCGGUCAAAUCGUGGGGCGAAAACGCAUCCAGCCGUUGAAACUGGGGAUCUAGAGUGUGCGAGAGGUAUGCGGAAUGCGUGGUGUAGCGGUGAAAUGCAUAGAUAUCACGCAGAACCCCGAUUGCGAAGGCAGCAUACCGGUGCACAACUGACGCUCAGGCACGAAAGCGUGGGUAUCGAACAGGAUUAGAUACCCGGGUAGUC
rnacentral:rRNA from 1 species